rnacentral:rRNA from 1 species
UACGUAGGGUCCAAGCGUUUAAUCGGAAUUACUGGGCGUAAAGCGUGCGCAGGCGGUUGUGCAAGACCGAUGUGAAAUCCCCGGGCUUAACCUGGGAAUUGCAUUGGUGACUGCACGGCUAGAGUGUGUCAGAGGGGGGUAGAAUUCCACGUGUAGCAGUGAAAUGCGUAGAGAUGUGGAGGAAUACCGAUGGCGAAGGCAGCCCCCUGGGAUAACACUGACGCUCAUGCACGAAAGCGUGGGAAGCAAACAGG